rnacentral:misc_RNA from 1 species
AAUAGACUUACCAUUAUGUAAAAUAUUUAAUUUCAUCUCAGCUAUGUCAUAAGCACUUAACAAAGCCAAUGCUGCACCAAGGCUAUGUCCUGUUAUGGUGAUACUUAGCUCUUCACCUUGGUAUUUUUCGAUUAAUCUAUUAAUCUCCGCUAAAAUUUGUUCACGAGCUGAAAACGAAGCAUAGUGACAAUUAUUUUCUUUUUUAGUAUACAUAUCGAAGAACCCUGUCUCAAUCUUGAUGUUUGGAUCAUCGCGAAAAUGAGCAGGAUGUAAAAUGUCUUGUAGGUCAUGGAUCCAUUCUAGGUAUGUGACCGUGCCACGCCAUGCAACCACUAUGUCACGUCUACCUAAACGUUUUAUUUCUUCAGGAUCUGUGGCUACGGCUACAUACCCCAUCCAGUUCGCGUGUUGGCUCCAAACGUUCCUCAUUUUUGAUUUUUGGAAGAAAUUUGGUAAGUUGAUAUUUGAGGUUGCAUAUAAGUACCUUUUCAUUUCAUACCCUUUUUUCAACAUGUUGAUCUUGUCAAAAAAUUGUGAUGGUUGAUACUUGCAAGUACCACAAUAUUUUGAAUGAGGAUCAUAGUCAAAUGAGUCAUAACAAGAUUGAGCAAAUUCACCAUAACGAAUGAUUUCUUUUCUAAGAUGACAAUCCAUAGGAUCAAGUAAACCUUUCCAAUUGUUACAUCCUUGAAUUUCUCUCCACAUCUCAUGAAGGGGUUUUUUCUCUUCUUCAUCAUAUUGUUGGAGUUCAAUAGUAUUGUUGUCCUCUAAAUUUGAAAGACAUGAAGAUGUUUUCAAAGAUAGGCUAGGUGAAAGUCUUUUGUUUGGGAAAGAGAGGUUGGAUUUGAAUGUGUUCCAUAAUGGAAAAACUUCUAGACAAGUAUGGUUUCUUUUGUGUUUGGGAUUGGUGAGAGAUAACUGAAAGGAAGACAUGAUGAAUAUUGAUGAGAAACUUUUUUUCUUGUGUUUA